rnacentral:rRNA from 1 species
UACGAAGGGUGCAAGCGUUACUCGGAAUUACUGGGCGUAAAGAGCGCGCAGGCGGUCGUUCAAGUCGAGUGUGAAAGCCCCCGGCUCAACUGGGGAGGGUCACUUGAUACUGAUCGACUGGAAGGCAGGAGAGGGAAGCGGAAUUCCCGGUGUAGUGGUGAAAUGCGUAGAUAUCGGGAGGAACACCAGUGGCGAAGGCGGCUUCCUGGCCUGUUCUUGACGCUGAGGCGCGAAAGCUAGGGGAGCAAACGGG